UGUAUAUAUGUGGAUAUUUUUGUGUAUAUACAUAUGUCUGUAUGUGUAUUCAUAUGUAUUUGUGUAUGUGUGAGUGUGUGCAUGUGCUUGAGUGUGUGUGUGUGUGUACACUUGAGGGUGUGCCACAGGAUUGUCUGCUUCUACCAUGUUGGUUCCUGGGAUAUGCCAAGUCCUCCCAUGCAUAAGAGUUGGAACAACACAGUUCCCAGUCCUGGAGCAGAGCUAGCAGGGUUUGGGCCUCCAAAAGUGCUGAUGGUUGUUGUGGGUGUGGGGCUUGUUUGUAUAAUAAUGUACAUAUUUCCAUGUUCCUCCUUUGAGGAAUGUUCUGGGUUAAUGACUUCAUGAUAAUGAGAAACAGCAUGAGUCUGGGAGGUUAGAAUGUGUUCUGCAACAAGGUGGUGAAUGCUGUGACCUUCAGGACAGCCGUUAAGGCUGUGGGAAAGAACUCUGAAAACAUGAGUUCAAGAAUGUAUAAUUUUUCAGCUACGCAAAAUAUAAAGAUGCAAUAUGAAUUGUAUGAGGGGCUUCAUGGACCUAGAAGAACAGAGACAGCUGCAUUAAUGAGCCAGCUUAUCAGUAAGAUAUUAAGGAACGAGAUAAAGGAAAUUUGGGGAAUGGUGAUCUCAGAGUCAGAUCCACAACUACCUAGCUUAUUGUAAGCUUAUACUUACAAAGGCAGGCAGAUUCCUGAAUUCAAGGUCAGCCUGGGACAGAGCAAGUUUAGGUCCAGGCAUGACGGGAAUGGUAGUCUCAGGAAGGGUUCCCACCCAGCUCAAAGUAUUGUUUGUGCUAACAAAGGCAGGCAGAUCUCUGAGUUCUUUUGGUAUGUUAAAAAAAAUAUGUACUUGCUGUCUCUUUCUAAGAAUCAAGGGGCUAAGGUUACAAAAUUCUGAUUUCUGGGAUAAUCAAAAGAGAACCUAGGGUAAAGAUUGAAUUGAUGUAUAAAUAAAAGACUGGGCUUUAGUCUGCAAGAGCUGAGCUAUCUACACAGCUAUUUGGAGAGCCAGCUUGAGCAGAACACAGAGCUGUCAGCUUGUAUCCAUGAUUGACUUCCAGUUAUUCUUUCGCUGUUCCCAAAUACCCCUUCCUCAAGAACCCCUCUCCAAGCUGAGGCUGGUCCUUGGCAGCAAUCAGGUUGUCAGAGAGCACCUCUAGCUGCAUAUUGAAAUAUAUUCAACACCAGUAGUCGUUGUUGAAAGAAAAAUCUAAACGAUAAAACAAAUUAGGAUUGCUAAUAUACAUAUAUACAUACAUACAUAUACAUACACAGAAACACACAUACCUGUGAAAAAAUUUUUUUAAGAUUUUAUUCAUUUAUUAUAUAUAAGUACACUGUAGCUGACUUCAGACACACCAGAAGAGGGCAUCGGGUCUCUUUACAGAUGGUUGUGAGCCACCAUGUGGUUGCUGGGAAUUGAACUCAGGACCUCUGGAAGAGUAGUCGGGUGCUCUUAACCGCUGAGCCAUCUCUCCAGCCCGAAAAUUUUUAAUGUUGGUAAGGAUGUAGAGAAAUUGAAACACUUGAAUGUUGCCGUUGGGAAUGCAAACUGAUGGAGCCACUGUGUUUUUUUUUUUUUUGGUUCUUUUUUUCGGAGCUGGGGACCGAACCCAGGGCCUUGCGCUUCCUAGGUAAGCGCUCUACCACUGAGCUAAAUCCCCAGCCCCGGAGCCACUGUGUUUGGAGGUGAGGGAUCUGGCUUUCCUUGGAAGUUAAACUGAAUUGUCAUAUGAUUCCACAUGUAGGUUUCCACAAUUCCACUUGUAGGCUUACAGCCAAUAGAAUUUAAACCAUGGAUUUAUAACCCCUUAAAACAGCCAGAAGGUUGAAACCACAUGAAUGCCGCAAGAGAAGACAGGAUUAGUGAGACACGGCACACAUACAUGGGAUAGUAUUGACUGUAGAAGGCAUGGAGUACUGAUAUUUGCUACAAAAGGACAAAUACUGAGAACAUUACAGAAAGUGAAAUAACAUAGCCACAAAAGGACAAAACAUUGUACAAAAUGCCCAUGGUAGGUUAAUUCAGAGACUGAAGAGAAGUUACCAGGCACUAGAGGAAUGGAGAGGUAAAGUUUAAUGGGUAUUGGCAACAGAUAUGGUCUGAAAUGGACAGUGAUUGGAGGAUAUUAGGCAUCUACUUAGUGCUACUAAAUUUGUUUGUUUGUUUAUGAACAAUCAAAGCAUCUAUGUCUAUGACAGGAAGCUUGGUCUAUUUGUACACAUGUGGGAGCAGGGACUCAUGUAAGGCAGUCUGGAACUUAUUGCUUCAGAUAGGCUGCUCAGUCAGGAGCCCUCAAGGCCUGCCUGGGUCCUCUUCCAUUCACCUGGGUUACAGUGUGCAUUUCUGCACCCAGGUUUUUUCCCACAGUGCUAGGGAUGUGAACUCAGGUCCUCAAGCUUUCCAGGUACUUACUUUGCCUUAUCCAUUGAACCAUCCCCCAUCCCAAUGCCACUAAAUCAUAAUGAUAUUAAAACAAAUCUGGGGACCCACAGUAACCCAGUGUGAACAGAUUCAUUUGGGGAAAAUUCCAAGGAGGAGAGGAAUGGUGGUUUUAGUUCCAGCCGGAAACCAAGUGUGGUCUUCCCAUGGAAUGCCUCUCCAGGGGGUAGUGAGAUGUCUGUAAGCUGCUUCAAUAUUAAAGCCCAUAGAAACUUUUGUAGGUUGCUACUGUAUUUCUGUGCUGUUACUAAUGAAGGUUGCAUGCCCUGACUUCCAAUGCAUUCACAGGAGUACUCAGACCUUCCUUAUGCCUUUAGUCUAAAGUCACAUCUCCUUUAAGUAUUUAAGCAUUAUAUAACCACAACAAAAAGGUACUCUAAGGAUUUAUCGGGCUAGAUGGAAAGGCAAUCAUUAUUUAGACAGGAAGAGAGCCAAGUGUUCAAAUGAUGUUGCUAUUUAGACAGGGACAGAACCAAGGUAACAGAGUUCUGGAAGACAACCUUCACCUUGGGGCACCCCAGCAAUCAUUCCAUGUGGCUGAUCUUGAGGAUCCAAUUCAGGGAGAACUGUUCAUCCACUUAGAGCUCAGGUUCCCCUGUUUGCACAGGGUAGCUCCUGCCCUUUGGAAGCUGGGAAAAUGCAUACAUAUGCCAGGCAUGGUAGCAUAUGACUAUGUUCCAACACUUUAGAGGCUGGGACAGGAUGGCUGAUAUGUCCAGCCUGGCUACACGAGACCCUGUCCAAAGCAGACAUAGAAAUACUGCUAACAGAGUAAUAUAAAUGCUCACUGGCUCCCUUCUGAAGGACUGUAGGCUCACUGGUAUCAGGAUCAGGUGGCAAGAAGAGAGGUCAUUCUUGGUCAUAGAGGUGAGAUGGCUCCUGAGCCAAAUCCUGAGAGACAUGGAACUUUCCGGGUGACCAAACACAUAGGGACAUUUCCUGUAGGAGGGAUGGCAUAGGCAAAGCCACAGUGUAAGGCAGGAAGGCACAUCUGAAAACCACAGACUGGUGGCACACAACAAGUAAGCAGGGGUAGAGGGUUGGGGAGUCAAGAGUUGGGGGGAAGAUCCUGGAGAAGGAACCCUUUACUUCUUGAGACAGUGUCUUGUAUAGAGCCCAGGCUGGCUUUGAUCUCACAAUUGAUCUUUCUGCCUCAGCCUCUAGAAUUCUGGGAUUACAGGCAGGCCACUGCCGUGCCUGGUUUGGCUAUCUAGGUUCUAUAUUACCUUUUAUUUAGUCUCUUUUUAUUACACGUUUAUUUAUGUUAUGUAUGUAGCCAUGGACACCCAAAUCACAUGUGUGGAGGUCAAAGUUUCUUUUCUUCUACUAUGUGGGUUCUGGAAAUCAAAUCCAGGUUGUCAAGUUUGAUAGCAGACACUUUUACCUACUGAGUCAUUUUGCUUGAUCUCCUGCUUGGUUUUUUUGUGUAUGCACACAUGCUCAUACAUAUAUGCUUGUAUGUGUGUAGACAUAUGUAAGCAUGUGUGUGAGCACGUGUGUGGAGGUCAGAGGUCAAUGUUGAGUGUCUUCCUGAAUUAUCCAUCAACUUACUUUUUCAAUCUAGAGUUUGGUUGUUUGAAUUGGUUAAACUGGCUGGCCAGUAAGCCACAGGGAACCUCUUGCCCUCUCUGACCUUUCUGUGAGUGCUAAGAAUCUAGCUCAGGUUUUUAGGCUUGUUCAACAAGUAUUUUAUUAAGUCAUCUCUCUAGCUUCUUGUUAAUUUAUUUGAGGGUAUCAGAUCCCCUGAAACUGGAGUUAUAAAUGGUUGUGAGGGGAAAUGGGGGUGCUGGGAAUUGAGCCUCUAUCUUUUGGAAGAGCAGCCAGUGCUCUUAACCUCUGAGCUAUCUCUCCAGGGCAUUCCUCUUGGAAACGUUUUUUAAAAGACAAAGUCUGCUGUAGCACAGGCUAGUCUUGACAGUACCAUUCCUGAUGCCCCUAACCUCACAUUAAAGAAAGGCCCUGAGGCUACUGUUCCACAUGGAAGAUUCCUAAUGUCUUCCAUGACGUUUAGCUAUUUCCCCUGGAUCCACCCAUGGGACAGGUAGUUGGACCACAGGAAACUAGCAAACCGCAUUGUUCUUAGAACUCUCUAGAAUGGAGCCCCACUUUACCCUUGAGACUCUCCACAGAACCUAAUGUCCUUUUCUGCCAGCCAAUCUCACAUGGAGCCUGCAUCAGAGAGAGGCACCACUUGGAUUUUGAUUUCAUUGCAUCCAUACAGAGAGUUCUUUGCAAGUUGGCAUCUAUGGAGAGAGUACUAACUCACUUCCCAUGCCAGGAACAGCUCAGUCUCCAGGUCUGAGGAUAGAGGGAAGCUUUUAAAUUUCAUAUGAUCGAGGCUGUUCUUUUUUAAAGAUUUAUUAUUUUACUUUAUCUUAUAUGUGUAUGCCCGAGUACUUGUAUGACACCAUGUGUAUGCAGGAUCCUACGGAGGUUAGAAGAGGAUGUUCAAUCCUAGACAUCUGUAGUUAGUGUAGGUGGUUGUAGACCACCGUGCAUAUGGGUGCUGGGAACAGAACCUAGGUCUUCUGCAAGGCAGUAAGCACUCUUAACUGUUUAGUGACCUUUCUGGAUUGGGGCCAUCUUCUUAUUAGUGGGUAAUAUGCAUAGAUAAUAAGGUGAGGGAGGAAAUUCCUGAAGGGCUUGUGAGGUGAAUUCAGUUCUGGGCAUUUUGAGACCUUUGUAUGACCCUUUGAUUUCCUGUCAUAAAUCACAAGUGUUAGGGGGUGGGGUGGGCUUGUCGUUCUUUUUAUAGAGACAGGAUCUCACUGCAGCUCAGGCUGACCUAAAAUAUCCAGCGGUCCUCUUGUCUGAGGCUCCCUCUUGUCUGAGGCUCCCAAGCACAAGCACAUGAGCUACCACAGUGUGAUAAAUAGUGAGGAUUUUGUUUGUUUUCUUUUAAGACAGGACCUGACUUAGCCUCUAGCUCACCAUGUGCCUGAGAAUGACCUUGAGUUUCUGAUGCUUUAACUUCCUAGGGUUGGGAUUAUAGCCAUGUAGUUCUGUGCUUGGCUUUCCAUGGUUGGUACUGAAGAUUGACCACAGGGCUUCAUGCUAACCAGGGAGCAUUCCACCAACUGAGUUGUGUCUCCAGUCCCCUUCCCUGGAUUUUUUUAAACUAAGGAAAGUCACAUUCCAUAAAUCAAGAUAGCUGUUUUGAAAGACUACACUGUGCUAAAUGUGGUGCCUGUAAUUCCAGCAUUUAGGCAAUAGAAGCAGGUGGGUCAAGAGUUCAAGGACAGUCUACUAGUGAAUUUGAAGGCAGCCUGGGUUACGAGAAACCUGUCUCAAAACAAACAGGCAGAAUAUACCAAUUGAGUUAGGUGACUCGCUCCUAAUAAUCCCAGUAUUCUGGAGGCUAAGACCAAAAAAAAAAAAUAAAAAUAAAAAAUAAAAAUAAAAAAAAUCAUAAAUUCAAGGUUAGAAUGAGUUUCAGACCAACUAGAUGCCUACAUAUCAAGACUGGAGCGGGGAGGUGGGAGCUUGGGAGGAGAGAUUAUAGGCAUGGUUGCACUUGGAGGCAGAAGGAUUGUCACACGUUUACAGACAGCCUGGUCUUGAUAACAAGUUUCAGGCUAUUUAGGGUGGUUCGAAUACUCUUGCCCCGUACGGAAGGUAGUGUUAAGAGGUGUGGCCUUGUUGGAGGUAGUGUGUCUCUGUGGGGGUGGACUCUGGAGGUCUCCUCCUAUGCUUAGGCUCUACCCAUUGCAGAAGAGAGCUUCCUCCUAGCUGCCUGAGGAUACCAGUCUUCUACUGGUUACCUUUGGAACUCUCAGCUCUUCCACUGCCAUGCCUGCCUGGAUGCUGCCAUGCUUCCCUCCAUGAUGAUAAUGGACUGAACCUCUGAGACUGUAAGCCAUCACCGAUUAAAUGUUGUCCUUUAUAAAGUUGCCUUGGCCAUGGUGUCUCCUCACAGCAUUGGAAACCCUAACUAAGACAGCUAUAUACAAAGUCCCUGUCUCAAAAAACAAGAAAGCAGGGGUUGGGGAUUUAGCUCAGUGGUAGAGCGCUUGCCUAGCAAACGCAAGGCCCUGGGUUCAGUCCCCAGCUCCGAAAAAAGAAAAAACAAACAAACAAACAAACAAAAAAACCAAGAAAGCCAAGUGUCUUCUUACCUUACAAUGCUCAGGGGCCAUGACUUGGUACCUGCCAACUGUAAUAAAGUUCAGUACUUAAACAAAGAAGAUACUUAAAAGCCACAAGAAGAAGACGGCUGUGUGGAGAACGAACUUAGAACUAUACAUUGUCAUCACUCCAUAUACACAAUGGACAUCCAAUGAUUUCCUUUCAGUGGUAACAAUGGGUAACUGAGUAAUGAGCACUCACCAUGAGGCAUACAACCAUCUAGCCAUUUAUAUACCUCAUCCACACCAGGAAGACGUUGUUAUGCGGCUGUAAUUGUCCUUAUCUUAUAAUAAAACUGAGACACACAGAGGCUAAGGACUUUCUUUACUUACUUUGUAAUUUCUCAGUUAUGCACGUAUGUGAGUAUUUUGAUUGCAUGCAUGACUGUGAGCCAUUUGCAUGCCUAGUACCCAUAGAAGCCAUGAGAGGGUGUGAAAUCCUUCAGAACUGGAGUUACAGAUGCUUGGGAGCCACCAUGUGGGUGCUAGGAAUCAAAGCAGGCACACAAGGCAAGUGCUGUACCAUUGGGCUAGCUUAGUAGCCAUAACCCUCAUGUAUGCAUUUAAGACAGACACACAGACAUGAUUCAGUUUGUAAUUCUUCCAGUGAGGGUUUCCUGUUGUAGUUUUUGUUUUUGUGUUUUCUUGUCAUUGUGAAGCCCAGGCCUAGAGCUUGCUACGCAUGUAGCCUGUGUUGGCCUCAAACUUGUGAUCUUUCUGCUUUCAUCCUCCAAGUGAAGGAAGAGAUUGUAGGUGUGUACAACUAUCUCCAGCCCAGCAAAAGGCUUGUGCCAGUGGGAAUAGGGUGACGGUUUCCUUCAUUCAUUCUGGAUAGUCUUUCGGCUUUUCAGUUCUUUCUUUUAUUUAAAAAAAAGUAUUGUGUAUAGUAUAUGUGGUGGGUUGAAUAUGCUUGGCCCAUGGGAAGUGGCACCAUUAUGAGGUGUGGCCUGGUUGGAGGAAGUGUGUCACUGUGAGUGUGGGCUUUGAGGUCCUGUGCUCAAGCUCUGCCCGUAGUGGUAAAGAGACCCGCCUCCUGACUGACGGAAGAAGACAGUCUCCUCCUGGCUGCCUUCAGAUCCAGGUGUAGAACUCUCAGCUCCUCCAGCACCAAGUCUGUCUGGAUGCUUCCAUCCUUCGAAAUCAUAAUGAUAAUGGACUGAACCUCUGAAACUGUAAGCCAGCCCCAACACAUGGAUAAAUAAAUUUAUAAGAGUUGCCUUGCUCAUGGUGUCUUUUCAUAGCAAUGGAAACCAUUACUAAUAUAUGCCACACUUGUUUUAAGAUGUAAUGUAUUUUUAAUUGUGUGUGUGUGUGUGUGUGUGUGUGUGUGUGUGUGUGUGUGUGUGUAAGUUGAAUACAUGAGUGUCUAAGGGGGCCAGAGGCUGGAUCCCCUGAGGCUGGAGCUACAGUUGUGAGCCAACUGAUAGAGAGGGAAACCAACCCAGAUCUUUUCCAAGAACAAGUACUCUUAACUACUGAACAAUCUCUCCUGCCACUCAUUUUCUUUUUAAGUUUUUUAUGUGUAUGAAUGUUUGCCCAACAGCUGUAUACCACAUUAGUGACUGGAGUCCAUGGAAGCCAGAAGACAUCAGAUCCCCCUAGGACUGAAGUUUAUGAGCUUCUGUGUGGGCACUGAGAAUCCAGUGGCCAGUGCUGUAACCAGUGGGCCAUCUCUCUAGCCCCUAUCUCUUUUCUUUUUGUGAACUGUCAAAAUCCUCACACUUCAUGACUCUUAGUAUAUAUAAUGAGACCAUUAGUUUAUUACUUUCUCUGGCUCCAUAUGAGAACCCAGUCUUUGAUACAAAAGCAAAGAAGCUGGGAUAACCUUAAGAGAACACAGAAGGAUCCAGGUACGGUGAUGCAUGCUUGUAAUCACAGUGUUUGAGAGGUAGAGGCAAGAGAAUCAGAAAUUCAAAGUCAUUCUCAACUACAUAGUAAAUCUGAGGCUAGCCUGAACUAUAUGAAACCCUGUCUCAAAAACUCCAGGAUCAUCAAGAUAGGUCAGUGCAGUGGGUAAAAGAACUAGCCAAGUAUGCCUGACCGCCUGAGGUCAGGCCCAGAGCCCAUGGUGGAAGAAGAGAACCCAUUCUGAAAGUUGUCUUCUGACCUCCACAUUUGAACCAAGGCAUAUACACAUGCCUAUCACACACACACACACACACACACACACACACACACACACACACACACACACACACAAUCAAAAGAAAAAGAAAAGCAAAACCCAGGAAUAUGUAGAACCAAACAUGAUGGUGCCUGUAAUCCCAGUAAUCAGGAGGCAGAUUGGGAAGAUUCAAGACUAACACAGUUGAUUAUAUUAAGUGCAGGCCAGCUAUGGCUUUAUAGUGAGACCCUGCCUCAUUCCCUAACUCAUUCUGAAACAGAAUAGCUAGAAGGUAUAAGAUCACUUAGGCUUUGUACACAUCAAACAUGUGGGGACUGGAGAGAUGGUUCAGCAGCUAACAAAGACCUUGAGUGGGAACCCUAGCACCCGUCUGGUAGCUUACAGCCAUCUAUGUAACUCCAGUUCCAGAGGAUCCAGUGUCCUUUUCUGACCUUCAAGGGUACCAGGUAUGCAUGUGGUACACAUCUAUGCCCUGCAGGCAAAACACACAUAAAAUAAAAUAAAUCUAAAUUUUUUCAAAGUUAUGGAAUUGUCAUCAGUUGAUAGCUUUGAUCAAAAGACAACUUUGAUUUCACUGGUUCCCAAGUGCCCUGUUGUAAGGUUGUCCUGACAGGAGAGCAUCAGAACUGUGGUGCUCCUUCCUGACCGUGUUUGCAUAACCAUACACAAUGCCUUUCCUCCCUCUCACCCUUUGUCGAAGCACUGGAGACAUUUCAUCAAACUAAUUUUAUAUCAUAGCCAUUCAGUGGCGCCUUCCUGGGGUGGCACGCUCAGCUGUGCGGCAUACCGCAGCAAUGAGGAAAGUGUUUGUGUCAAAGUGGGGGGGGACUGCCAGGGCAGUGGCCAGCUAUUGGAAGACAUGUGGCUGGGGACAGUUAAGUCUGCAUUUUUGACAUGGAUGGCUAGUAAGCCAGUGGUAUGAGAAGAGACUACUUAAUAAGGCAGUCUUUCUGACCAUGUGUUGAACAAACGCUGAAUGCUUGUAAAUAACUAUUUCAACGAAUCCUAACAAUAACCCUAUCAGAUCAGUAGGGAUAUCCUGGAAGCAUAACAUCCUACACGUCAUUCUCAUGAGACAAAGGCCUACUCCUCCAAGUUACAACCUGGGUCCUCCCUCCUAAGUACAAAGCACAGCUAGAUUACAUUGUUUUCCAACGAGCCCUUUGUGAGCCAAUGGGUCACUCAAGAUGUUGUGGGGCUGCUUCUCCCAAGGGAAGACACGACUCCUCUGUCUAUCAUCAAUACACCUUGUGCCAUGUGGUCAGUGCCUACCAAAGAGGGACCUGGCACUCUCUGGCAAUCCUAGGCCACUCUGGAACUCAGAGCAAUCCCCCUGUCUCACUCUUCUUCGUGUGGGGGUUGCAAGUGUGAGACACCAUGCCUAGAGGUACUGGAGAUUGCAGUCAUGUCUGCGGAGAUUUCAAGACACCAAUGUCCAUCUCUGUCAGGCACUCACAUUUAACUGAUAUGAGUGGAGUGGGCAUCAAGAUCCUUUAAAACAUUUUAAUUUACUGUUACUGUUUAAAAUUAUCAUCAUGGGCUGGAGAGAUGGCUCAGAGGUUGAGAGCACUGACUGCUCCUCCAGAGGUCCUGAAUUCAAAUCCCAGCAACCACAUAGUGGCUCACAACUAUCUAUAGGGGGAUCUGGUGCCCUCUUCUGGUGUGUCUGAAGAAAGCUAGUAUACUCAUAUACAAUAAAAACUUAAAAAAAAAUAAAAUCAUCAUCAUCAUCAUCAUCACCAUCACCAUCACCGUGUAUGUGUGUGUGUGUGUGUGUGUGUGUGUGUGUGUGUGUGUGUGUGUGUAGGUGUAGGUGUCUGUAGGUGGAUGAGUCUGUGGCGGUCAGAGGACGACUUUCAGAAGUCAAUUUAUGCCUUUUACAGUGGGUUCUGGGGACUGAACUCAGGUUGUCAGGCUUGUACAACAAGCACUUCUACCCACUUAGCCAUCUCACCAGAUCGGGCAUCAGGAUUUUAAAAAUCUGUAAAAUAGAUCCAGGUGUGGUGAUGUUCGCCAUUAAUUCCAAUGCUUGGAAGGCAGAGGCAGGCUGAUCCCUAUGAAUUAGGUGCAGGCCUGGUCUACAUAGUGAGUUUCAGCACAGCAACAUAGAGAGACACUGUCUCAAAAAAUAAUUGCUCUAAUAAUUCUGGGCCCAGUAUAUAGCUCCAUGGUAGAAUGCAGUUUGCUUAGCAUACACAAGGUCCUGAACUUGAGCCUAAUGGACAUGCACAUGUGUGAAUGCACACACAAACACACUCACAGUCAACCAAGUGACUUCUGUGUGAGGCUACUUUUGAGGACCUCUGGGUUAGAUUAUUGUUGGCUGGAGAGAUGAUUAUAACAGAAAAGGAAUAGAAAAGCAGACACUUUAGGGACCAAUUAAAAGUUGUAGUUAGGGGUUGGGGAUUUAACUCAGCGGUAGAGUGCUUGCCUAGCGAGCGCAAGGCCCUGGGUUCGGUCCUCAGCUCCGAAAAAAAGAAAAAAAAAGUUGUAGUUAACCUUGGAAGACCAAGGACCACCCAGGAGAGAUGGAUGAGGAUACAGCCAUCGAAUUCAAAGCCAUAGACCCCAGAGGCUGAGGGAGAAACAGAGAUGUCCAGGAGGGGUGGUGCCAUGAUAUGAAAUGGUAGCAGCAGCCUGAGGUAGGGAGCAGGCCCAGGUUUGGUCUCUGUGGAGAAUGAAGAGGCUGUCUGGCUUUGGAGAUAGAUCCCAGGUUCCAGAGGAGCCCCUGGAAAGAAAGUGAGGAAGCCCGAGCAGCCCGAGAAGGAAGCCUGGGGUAAAAGCAAAGAAUGCGGGAGCUGCAGGGGAGGAAGGGCGGAGGGCAGGGGCUGGUUUUAGGCUGGAGUGGCAUUAUUGUAGUCUGAAGGGAAGGAAGGAGCCAGG